rnacentral:rRNA from 1 species
AUGGCCCUUCCCGUGCUCGCUUCGGCUCCGCUGAACCCGGUCAUCGGCUUCAGGAAAUCCGCUCCGUCGGCUCCUGUAACGCGUUCCGCACACUUACGCUCGUUGCCAACUCCAGCUCCACUCCAGCUCGUCGUCGGCUCGCCCCCUCUGCCUCCGGCCCUUAGGCUCGUCACUGCAGCCGGGACAAGCACGGCGCAACUAGGAGACGAGCUUAAGGUGCUGGGGACAUGGAGGAGCCCAUUCGCUCUACGAGUGAGGGCGGCGCUCAACUUCAAGGGCCUGCAGUACGAGUACUUCGAGGAGAACCUCGAGAACAAGAGCGACCUCCUCCUUGAGUCUAACCCGUUCAUCAAGAAGCUGCCGGUCCUCAUCCACAACGGCGUCCCGAUCUGCGAGUCUCUUGUGAUCCUGGAGUACAUCGAGGAGAAGUUCAGUGAUGUGGGCCCAUCGCUCCUCCCCGCCGACCCCUACGAACGUGCCAUGGCGCGCUUGUGGGCCACCUACAGUGAAGACAAGCUGAUCGCCCCGUGGUUGAAGAUGUUCAGAGGCAUCACGGACAAGGAGAGGGCCGAAGGGGCGAGGGAGACGCUGGAGGCAGUGAACGCCCUGGAGGGGCUGCUCUCCAGGGGGCAACCAAAGCCCUUCUUCGGCGGAGACGAUGUCGGGUACGUCGACGUCGUGCUGGCCGGCAUGAUAGCGUGGAUGCAGGGAACCAAGGCACUUUGCGACGUCGAGCUCCUUGACGCUGCCAAGACCCCGCUCCUGGUGGAGUGGACGGAGCGCUUUGCCCGGCUGGACGGCGCCAGGGCGCUUAUGCCGGACGUCGGCAGGUUGGUGGAGUUUGCCAAGAUGAAACGGGCCAAAAUGAUGGCUGCAACGCAAACUAAUUAA